rnacentral:lncRNA from 1 species
CUUCUAGAAGACCUUCAAGUAAGUUAUCCAGUGUUUAGUCUUCCAGAAGACCUUCAAUUAAGUCGUCCAGAAGGUCGUCCAGUUAGUCGUCGAGGGUUUUUUCUUCCAGAAGACCUUCAAUUAAGUCGUCCAGAAGGUCGUCCAGUUAGUCGUCUAGGGUUUUUUCUUCCAGAAGACCUUCAAUUAAGUCGUCCAGAAGAUCGUCCAAGGUUUUCUUUUCCUUCAAGUUAGUCGUCCAGUGUUUAGGAUUCCAGAAGACCUUCAAUUAAGUCGUCCAGAAGGUCGUCCUGUUAGUAGUCCAGGUUUUUUCUUCCAGAAGACCUUCAAGUUCGUGGUCCAGUGUUUAGUCUUCCAGAAGACCUUCAAUUAAGUCGUCCAGAAGGUCGUCUAGUUAGUCGUCCAUUGUUUAGUCUAUGUAUUAAAUAUUUGUGUUAUGAACUUAUCUGUGAAAUUGCACUACCAAACAAAUUUGAGAUGGUCUUGCACUUUAUAUUAUCCGAAAUAUAGUUACAAAAGGUCACUGCUCAGAAGACUUUCCAGACUACUUAUAGUUAAGUCGUCCAACAUUUCAGACGACUUAACUGUAAGUCUUCUGCGCAGAAUAUAGUUACAAAAUAGGGAUCAUCAAGUUCAAAUACAAAAUAGGCAUCAAGUUCAAAUACACACAUCAGCCUAAUCUAUCAUACAAAAUAAUCCAACGUAGCGUAUUUAUCACCCCUC